rfam:Halococcus saccharolyticus DSM 5350 contig_30, whole genome shotgun sequence.
AAUCGGACUAGGCCGGGCAGUUAGGCCCUGCUCGUUACCCGCGAUACGGUCUUCAGCGGGGGCCGAACCCCGGGUGCGUCCGUGCCGACCGGCACGGGCCCCGCAAGCCAACGUAGAAGCCUCGUCCGUCGGGGGCGGCGGUCCGCGGCACCUCGUCCGCAGGGACGACUCGCCGCGGUUAACCGGCGGCAGUCCGUCAGGCGCGGAAGCGAGCAGCGGACCGCCGGACAGCCGUCGCUCGCCGGGUCGCGGGGUGGAGGCGGCGCGCGGGUCUCCCCGUGCCGGAACGCCGGGCAACCCCGGACCGUCCGAUC